rnacentral:lncRNA from 1 species
UCCCUGGGUGACUCCUAAAUCCCCUUUCGCCCCAUAUGCAUUAGAUCCCACUUUCUGCCCAAAUAUGAGGACUAGAUCUUUAGCUAAAAGCAGUAUCUUAUCCAAAUUUUGACUAAGUAGUUGCUCACUCUUUCUAGAAAGCUGAGGAAUCCUGCCUUCUGGAGUUUCUGACCUGCUUGCUUCAUUCCUCUUAAAUCAUACACUUCUCCCCAAGUUUGGGAUCUUUCCCCUUCCCUUGCAGUGAUAUGGAAACAGCAGUAGUGUAAGUGGGGGAGGGAGUACAGAGCAUAAUGCGCUCUUGCCAAAGGCUCCACUAUGGAGAAGGCCCAGAGGGAAGACGGGCACUUCCUUGGGCACUGCCUGCCCUUUCCUCUCCACAAUCCAACAGAGAAUUUCUUGGGGAUCAUAGUUGGGGUCUCCUGUGCACAUGAACUGCUACUUAAUAAUGGCUCUGAGAAAUAGGACCCCCUAGUUAAUUAUUCUCCCAAAGUAGGCCAUAUACCUCCAAUCAUACAAUCCAUAACUGCCACCUUUCCAAGCCCCCCUCCCCAAAAUUACAUAUGUAGCGUUGACUGUUCCUCCUGUUCCAUCUCCUAGUUACCAUUUCCCUAUGAGGUCACCCAUGCCUCUUUUAAAGAACCCAGGAGAACUGGUCCAGUUCCCCUACCUUGAUAAAUCCUUGAAGCCCCCAUUUUCCCCUCCUAGAGCGCCCAAGAGUCCUGGCUCCAGAUCCUUCUCCCCAUAACUGUUCUCUUUCUCCCUACCCCCCCCCCCCACCAAUCAAGUAGCUUUAGUUCCCCCACUUACCCAGAGCUGGGACAUGAAUCUAUGAGGGCCGCCCACGUGAGGAGCUGAGAACGGCAGCACAGAUACCCCCCUCCCACCCAUAAUUGGAGAGGAGAUCGUGUUUCCUGCCUCCCCGCAACAUCAUCAUUAUGGAAGACAUUCUAAAGUUUUGUUUGUUUCGUUUCGCUCCCUUGUUGGGGUCUGUGGACAGGAGGUGCCAGUGCGGCCAGUCCGACGAGACGAGACAAGAGCCCUUUUUUAAAAGAAAAGAAAAGAUGGCCGCUCGACCAGCAGCACUCAGGUGCAGUGUCGGCGGCAGGUGUCAAUUAUCCACACAGUGAGGGGGAGGGCAUUUCGCCACGUGGCACUACAGUGUGGCCUCGGCGACUCUUGGGGCGCAGUGGGGCAAACGACAGCCACGAGUCUGGAGCUGGGGUGGGGGCAGGGUGAGGCCACGUGGUAUGGAGUUGUGGCUUUGCAGGCACAGUGGGAAUCGCCGCAUGGCAUCGUGUUGGGACGUGGCAGCGACAGAAAGGGACACCACGAGGUGGCUGAGCAGGAGUGAUGUGGCGAGAGGCACCCUGAGAUGGAGGCACACACAAAGCCACGUGGCACAGAGCCAUGGCACCGGGUUAACCCAGCUAUGCAAAUGGGGCGAAGGUGUGCGACUCCGCUCAAAACAUCCAGUGGCCCGCUUGCCCAACAUCAGCUGGCAAAAGUUGCUGCCCAAGCACAAAAAUCCCUCACGCCUAUUUAAGUCCUUAAUUCUUCCACCCUAGUGGCCAGCCUCUUGUAUCCAAUUGGCUGCUGGUACCCUUCUCUCGUCCCUCUGUGGCCUAGUUGUUCCUACUUGGCUGCCUCUGCCUCUGUUCCUUCCAGCAAUUUCGGCUGCCUCCCUAGGCCUCUUGAGGUUCUGCACCUGCCUCUUCCUUAGGCUGCAGGCAGCCACCUUGAAAACCCUGCCUAUGUGGACCUCCUAAAUCCCCUUCGCAUGCUAGACUGGGGGCAUUAGAGCACUCACCGAGAACACAGCUUCUGCAACAGGAGCUCCUUAGAGGUUAUGACCACUGGCAAUCUCGGCUGAGUCUUUUGAGAAACGGCACUUUGCCCGCCCUACUUUUUUCCCAACCAUGAGGGCUAGAAAUCCACCUUAUUUUAAUAAAAGCAAAAGCUGAAACUUCUUAAGGUUCUGUGAAUAUCCUGGCUGCCCACGUAAACGUUUAUUUGCCUGGGGCCUACCACCAGUUGGGUUUUUCUUUUUUUGCAUGCCUGGGUUAAUCUUGUGGUCAUGAAGGGAAAAGGGUACAUUGCUGGCCUUGAUGGGAUGUCGGAUGCACAAGGUUUACCCUACGUCAUGGAGUUAUGGGCACAUGUGUGAUGGGAGCCACGUAGUACAGAAACGUGGCGUGGCUCAGACAAGCAGCGUGCUACGCCACAUGGUUAACGGUUGUGGGAAGGACUUAGCUGUAUGGCACAGAACUACGGUUUCAGAGGAGCAGGAGUGGGGCGGUUAGCUGCAUGGCACAGUUGUGGCGGGGGUGUCGGUGGCCAGCUGUCGAUUUUAAGAGUCACAGCACAGGUGAAGUGGUAAAAUGGGGCCAGCCACAAGGCCUACAGUCAUCGUACAAAUUCCCCCGCACACUUUUCCCCACAGCUCGUAAUCCCUGACGUGGAGAUUGAGAGGGGAGGAGUCAAGGAGUCGUCCCCCGCCCCCCGCUCUUGGACGGAGCAUCACUCUGAGGAUCCCAGCAAUGAGCAGCAGCAAGAGCAACCCCUCCCUGGCCUGUGUCUUGGGGGGGAGAAAGCAGUCCGUGCACUGGGUCCCGGUGUCCAAAUGGCUGCAAUGGGGAGAGCAAAUUAUGGAGCACCCCCUUGUAAUGCUGGGCUCUUGUUUCUUUGGCAGCUGAGCAUUGGGGGAGGGGAAGGGGGAUGCUCCAUCCACAGCACAGAUAUGGUCAGUAUCCGAGACCUCUCGCCCCUUGGAAUCGGUGCAGGAGCACAUGGCGCCGAAGGAGAGAGCACAAGAGACCCAGAGUGGGAGCACCUACCCACACCCUACUUUUAUGUCGCUUUGUCUUCCCUGUUCCAGCCCCUCAAUCUUGGCUACCCAUCCGGAGCUGGAAUUCCUGGUUGCCACAGAUACCCCUCUGGCAGAAGAACGUUAAGAGAGACUCCCAACUUCUAUGGGAAAUUGUCUUGUUAUCUUCCCCGUUCUGGAAGUGCAGAAAUACGCAAUACAUUUCCAAAUGGAGGCGGCGUGGAAAUAGCCUUUGAAAUGAGGACAAAAUGAAGCUUGUUGUUGAAUAUGCAAGGUGUGAGCUGGAGCACAACAGCACGCAUGUAUAUGGGGACCACACUACAACUUGCGAAGAAGCUGUUUUGCAGACUAUUAAAGCCAGGGUUGUGUGUACUCUGUGGUAUAAAUGGAGUGAGACUUGUUUGCUUUUGUAUUACCAGUGUGAAUUCAGGGUGUGAUAUGAAUUCACUCAUCUGGUAUGACCAAUGAGAUGCAGCUCUACAUCAGCUGAACAUCAGGUGUUUCACAAGAGAGUGUAUAAAGCAGGCUUGGAAUUAGCAACUUGUCUGAUCACUGAUGGGGGACUAUUCACUGCUUCCAGGCAAUUUACCACAAGGCUUUUGUAAACAGGAACAGAUCUGGG